AUCACCAGUGGAAUUUGGAAAAUGGAGAUUCUGAUUCAAUCUGGGAUGGGGCCUGAGAUUCUGCAUUUCUAACCAGCUCUCAUGGGAAGCCAGU
rnacentral:pre_miRNA from 1 species